CACGAGCGGCGAACGGGUGAGUAACACGUGGGUGACCUGCCCUCAGCUCUGGGAUAAGCCUGGGAAACUGGGUCUAAUACCGGAUAUGACCUUCUGUCGCAUGGCAGUGGGUGGAAAGUUUUUCGGCUGGGGAUGGGCCCGCGGCCUAUCAGCUUGUUGGUGGGGUGAUGGCCUACCAAGGCGACGACGGGUAGCCGGCCUGAGAGGGCGACCGGCCACACUGGGACUGAGACACGGCCCAGACUCCUACGGGAGGCAGCAGUGGGGAAUAUUGCGCAAUGGGCGAAAGCCUGACGCAGCGACGCCGCGUGGGGGAUGACGGCCUUCGGGUUGUAAACCUCUUUCGCCAUCGACGAAGCCUUCGGGUGACGGUAGGUGGAGAAGAAGCACCGGCCAACUACGUGCCAGCAGCCGCGGUAAUACGUAGGGUGCGAGCGUUGUCCGGAAUUAUUGGGCGUAAAGAGCUCGUAGGCGGUGUGUCGCGUCGGUCGUGAAAACUUGGGGCUUAACUCUGAGCUUGCGGUCGAUACGGGCAUCACUUGAGUUCGGCAGGGGAGACUGGAAUUCCUGGUGUAGCGGUGAAAUGCGCAGAUAUCAGGAGGAACACCGGUGGCGAAGGCGGGUCUCUGGGCCGAUACUG
rnacentral:rRNA from 1 species